CGAAGCCCCAAGUGGUGUCGUUCUUAUUGGGCCUAAAACGUCCGUAGCCGGUUUGGUACAUUCGUGGGUAAAUCAGACAGCUUAACUGUCUGAAUUCUGCGAGCACGGCCAAACUUGAGACCGGGAGAGGUGUAGGGUACUGCGGGGUAGGGGUAAAAUCCUGUCAUCCCGUAGGGACCACCAGUUGCGAAGGCUCUACACUAGAACGGAUCUGACGGUCAGGGACGAAGCCUAGGGGCACGAACCGGAUUAGAUACCCGGGUAGUCCUAGGUGUAAACGCUGUGGACUUUGUGUCGGGAAUUCUUCGAGGAUUCUCGGUGCCGGAGUGAAGAUGUUAAGUCCACUGCCUGGGGAGUACGGUCGCAAGGCUGAAACUUAAAGGAAUUGGCGGGGGAGCACUGCAACGAGAGGAGCGUGCGGUUUAAUUGGAUUCAACGCCGGAAAACUCACCAAAGCCGACUGUUAGAUGAAGACCAGCGUAACGAGCUUGUCGGAUUUUCAGAGAGGUAGUGCAUGGCCGUCGUCAGUUCGUACCGUAAGGCGUUCUGUUAAGUCAGAUAACGAACGAGACCCCCAUCGUCAUUUGCUAACCCUUUCUCCGGAAAGGGUGCACUAUGGCGAGACCGCUGGCGUGAAGUCAGAGGAAGGCGGGGGCAACGGUAGGUCAGUAUGCUCCGAAUGCUUUGGGCUACACGCGCGCUACAAAGGACGGGACAAAGGGCUGCUACUCCGAGAGGAGAUGCUAUCCCGAAACCCGUUCGUAGUUCGGAUCGUGGGCUGUAACUCGCCCUCGUGAAGCUGGAUUUCGUAGUAAUCGCGUCUCAAAAUGGCGCGGUGAAUAUGCCCCUGCUCCUU
rnacentral:rRNA from 1 species